rnacentral:rRNA from 1 species
GACGAACGCUGGCGGCGUGCCUAAUACAUGCAAGUAGAACGCUGAAGGAGGAGCUUGCUUCUCUGGAUGAGUUGCGAACGGGUGAGUAACGCGUAGGUAACCUGCCUGGUAGCGGGGGAGAACUAUUGGAAACGAUAGCUAAUACCGCAUAAUAUCAGUUGUUGCAUGAUAACUGUUUGAAAGGUGCAAUUGCACCACUACCAGAUGGACCUGCGUUGUAUUAGCUAGUUGGUGGGGUAACGGCUCACCAAGGCGACGAUACAUAGCCGACCUGCGAGGGGGAUCUGCCACACUGGGACUGAGACACGGCCCAGACUCCUACGGGAGGCAGCAGUAGGGAAUCUUCGGCAAUGGACGGAAGUCUGACCGGGCAACGCCGCGUGAGUGAAGAAGGUUUUCGGAUCGUAAAGCUCUGUUGUAAGAGAAGAACGAGUGUGAGAGUGGAAAGUUCACACUGUGACGGUAUCUUACCAGAAAGGGACGGCUAACUACGUG